GCCGGGUCAAAUAGAUGAUCAAGAAGGUCCAUGGACUAGAUUAGGGACCUCCAUUGCACUUCGGAAGGGUCAUUCAUUCGAGCAUGACUACAGGGACAUCGGGCUUUGAC
rnacentral:snRNA from 11 species